rnacentral:rRNA from 1 species
GACGAACGCUGGCGGCGUGCUUAACACAUGCAAGUCGAACGAGGCCCCUCCUUCGGGAGGGUGUCCUAGUGGCGAACGGGUGAGUAACACGUGGGCAACCUGCCCCCGGCUCUGGGAUAACCCCAAGAAAUUGGGGCUAAUACCGGAUAUGACCGCUGACCGCAUGGUCUGGUGGUGGGAAGUUUUUCGGCUGGGGAUGGGCCCGCGGCCUAUCAGCUUGUUGGUGGGGUAGUGGCCUACCAAGGCGACGACGGGUAGCCGGCCUGAGAGGGUGACCGGCCACACUGGGACUGAGACACGGCCCAGACUCCUGCGGGAGGCAGCAGUGGGGAAUAUUGCGCAAUGGGCGGAAGCCUGACUCAGCGAUGCCGCGUGGGGGAUGACGGCCUUCGGGUUGUAAACCUCUUUCAGCAGGGACGAAGCGAAAGUGACGGUACCUGCAGAAGAAGCACCGGCCAACUACGUGCCAGCAGCCGCAGUAACAC